GACGAACGCUGGCGGCGUGCUUAACACAUGCAAGUCGAACGGAAAGGCCCUGCUUUUGUGGGGUGCUCGAGUGGCGAACGGGUGAGUAACACGUGAGUAACCUGCCCUUGACUUUGGGAUAACUUCAGGAAACUGGGGCUAAUACCGGAUAGGAGCUCCUGCUGCAUGGUGGGGGUUGGAAAGUUUCGGCGGUUGGGGAUGGACUCGCGGCUUAUCAGCUUGUUGGUGGGGUAGUGGCUUACCAAGGCUUUGACGGGUAGCCGGCCUGAGAGGGUGACCGGCCACAUUGGGGCUGUGAUACGGCCCAGACUCCUACGGGAGGCAGCAGUGGGGAAUAUUGCACAAUGGGCGGAAGCCUGAUGCAGCAACGCCGCGUGCGGGAUGACGGCCUUCGGGUUGUAAACCGCUUUCGCCUGUGACGAAGCGUGAGUGACGGUAAUGGGUAAAGAAGCACCGGCUAACUACGUG
rnacentral:rRNA from 1 species